rnacentral:rRNA from 1 species
AUUGAACGCUGGCGGCAGGCUUAACACAUGCAAGUCGAGCGGAGAUGAGGUGCCUGCACCUUAUCUUAGCGGCGGACGGGUGAGUAAUGCUUAGGAAUCUGCCUAUUAGUGGGGGACAACAUUCCGAAAGGAAUGCUAAUACCGCAUACGUCCUACGGGAGAAAGCAGGGGACCUUCGGGCCUUGCGCUAAUAGAUGAGCCUAAGUCGGAUUAGCUAGUUGGUGGGGUAAAGGCCCACCAAGGCGACGAUCUGUAGCGGGUCUGAGAGGAUGAUCCGCCACACUGGGACUGAGACACGGCCCAGACUCCCACGGGAGGCAGCAGUGGGGAAUAUUGGACAAUGGGCGGAAGCCUGAUCCAGCCAUGCCGCGUGUGUGAAGAAGGCCUUUUGGUUGUAAAGCACUUUAAGCGAGGAGGAGGCUACUAGUACUAAUACUACUGGAUAGUGGACGUUACUCGCAGAAUAAGCACCGGCUAACUCUGUGCCAGCCGCCGCCGUAAGAC